UGGUCAGUAGGUUGGUCGUGCCACCGGUACGUACUGGUCUCACUGAUUCCUCCUUCCUGAAGAACCGUAAUGCCAUUAAUUUGGUGUUGCGGGGAAACAGGACUGUCACUUUGAAAAAAUUAGAGUGUUUAAAGCAAGCUAACGCUUGAAUACAUUAGCAUGGAAUAAUGAAAUAGGACGAUCGAUCCUAUUUUGUUGGUUUCUAGGAUUGACGUA
rnacentral:rRNA from 1 species